GGACUUGUGGCUCAGUUGGUAGAGCAUGGUGUUUGCAACGCCAGCAUGGUGUGUGCAACGCCAGGGUUGUGGGUUUGAAUCCCACGGGGGGCCA
rnacentral:tRNA from 1 species